UUCCUGAGAUGUACGAGAACUCUUGCUAUUUUGAACCUACAAUACUUUAAAAGGGAUUCCUAUAUUUAUAAGUGGAUGUCAGGCCUCCGUAUUGAGUGGAAGGCAGAAGCUUAUGUGCGGUUACCCACCUAGCAGAUGCUAGGAGUCAAAAUACAAGAAACGGCAUCUUGGGUA
rnacentral:other from 1 species